UACGUAGGCAGCGAGCGUUGUUCGGAGUUACUGGGCGUAAAGGGUGUGUAGGCGGUUGUUUAAGUUUGGUGUGAAAUCUCCCGGCUCAACUGGGAGGGUGCGCCGAAUACUGAAUGACUUGGAGUGCGGGAGAGGAGAGUGGAAUUCCUGGUGUAGCGGUGAAAUGCGUAGAUAUCAGGAGGAACACCGGUGGUGUAGACGGCUCUCUGGACCGUAACUGACGCUGAGACACGGAAGCGUGGGUAGCAAACAGG
rnacentral:rRNA from 1 species